AUCAUAGGUAUGGUGAUUUAAAUAGGAGUCCAAAGCUUCUUGUUUUCGUACAUGUUUGGUGUUUAUCAUGUCAGCAGUCAGUGGUGCCCUCAAAGGUCUUGUUCUUAGAGUUCUCUAGGAACUGGGUCUAAAUAUCUCAGGAUGCAUAGUGGGACCUCACAUUUGGCAAAAAGAAUUAAGAGUAAAAAUUAUGUGAGGUCGAUCACACUUGAAGACCUUUUAUCCUUUCUGAUUUAGUUGGUGCACAGCAGUACAUAUGGUUCCCAAUUUGCUAAGAUGCUCAACUCCAUACCAGAGUGAACUCCAAUGCGAAUCCAUAUUGGGAGGCCAGGAAGAUGCUCCAGCUCAAAGGUCCCCAUGAAGCUGAGGAUUUCCAAGGCCAUCUUGGCAAUGUCUAUUGCAUGCCGAUUGCCAUUUCUCUUAGGCAAACCACUAGCCACCAUGUACGCAUCACCGAUGGUUUCCACCUGUGGAAACAGUUUCUCAUGAGUGCCUCUGCCCCUUUGAAAAGUAUAGAAAGUAAACAGAAGCAGUUAAUCACAUGUCAAACACAAAAAGUGAUUUGGGAACACAGUAUGAGCAUAGCCCUUUACACUUUUUCUGGGGCCAGUUGGAUCAGUUCUAUGCUGAUUUCUUCAGGGUUUUUAUAGUCCAGUUAAUGGGUGAUAAAAUAGCUAUAAAGGAAUUUAGCCAUUUAAAAGUACUUCAUAAUUAUAUAAAUUGUCCAGAUGUGGUGACAGUUCUAGAAAUGUUCAAAUAAAUAAUCUGAAUGGUUUUAUGUAAUUUGAGGAACACCCUUAGUUUCCUGAAAAUUAAUCCUUUAGCAAAUGUCAACAUACUAUUUAACAGAAUAUUGUACUUUGUAAUAUGUAAUUGUAUACAUUCUUGUAGUAUGAUUUUCUAUUUAUUAUAACCCCAGUGUCUUCUCUGCUUCAUUUGCAGUCAGCCUAAACACUGCCCAUUUUUUGGAGGUGAUUUAAGAGUAUGCCAUUUUGUCUAAAUUUAAUACUUCAAAUUAAUUCCUGCUGAACUUCCUGUUGUAUCUUUUUUGCUGCUUCUUAAAGUUGAAUGGUAAUUUUGACUUCUCACUCCUCUAAUCCUUCUACUUCUCUUCACUUUUAGCUCAGAUUCAACCACCAAUUCACUAAAUGUGAAACUAGAGCGGUCAAGAGUAGUAACAGAAACAACCAAUUCAGGCUCUGAUGACCUUGAGUUGUACAAUUAAUGGUUUCAGCCUGUUAGGUGAUGUGGUUACCUUGUAGACAUCAUGAUGAUCAACAAUGUGGUCAAAACUCUUAUAGAUGUCAUUAAGCAUGUCCACCACUUCCAUGGGGGUGCUGUAUUUGCAGAUAGUAGUGAAACCUACAAUGUCACUGAAGUAGAUUGUAACUUCCUCAUAUAGUUCCGGCUCCACAAAGCCUUUCUCCUUCAGAGACUUUACCACUAGCCUAGAUGAACGAAGGGAAAAAAAAUGCCUUCAACUUCAGCAAAUUUCUUCUUGUUUCACAUAAAUCUUUCAGGUAGUAGUGAUUGUCUACCAAGAAUUCUAGAAUUUGAGACUUCCAGUGAAUUGAGUGAAUCGGAAACAGAGGUUGUGUAUAUCAUAUACAUGAACAUAUUACACAAAUACACAUAUAAUGCAUGUUGUGAACACAGAUGAAUACAAGCAGGUUCAACAUUAACUUAGUGUUUGAUUAUUAAUCCUAAUACACAUAAAUAGAUAACUUUAAUAUCCUCAAAACUCUCAUACAUAUACAUACUUGUCCACUUUUUGCUUCUCUAUUGAUAAUCAACCUCUUACAGAUGUGGCUCUACAUGCAGAAGCUGAGGAGAGUGUGGUAUUACUUAAAUCACCACAGGUAUCAGAUCUGAAUUUCUCAACAAAGUUGAUAGUUUUACUUUCCUGGCAUAUGUAAUAUGGCAUUGCUUAAUAUUACUAUGAAAUAAUGAUGCAUUUAAAUAUAAAUUUUGAUAUAUUCUGAACCAGAGUUCAUUUGAUAUUUUGAACCAGAUUUGGGUCCUUUGUAAAGCAGAAUCAAUCAUGUAAAUAAAUUAAAUCAUGCUAAAACUGUAGAAGUCAAAUUAAAGCAACUUUUAGAAUAUCUUUGCUGAAUGAGGAGCAGCAUAUCAGAUUCAAGAUUGAAGGAAGAGAACCAGAAGAAGGGACUCCAUACUUGGUGUGCCAAGUUACCUCUUCAUUGAGAAAAGGAAGUGAGGGCUGACAUGAAGUGGGAUGGUCCCUGUCUGUCCUUGGCAUCACUUUGUAGUGGCCCUCAGUAUGGAACCACUAGAAUCAGAAACUGGAAGCUGGGAGGUUCCACGGAAGUCAUUGAAAAGAAAUCUUUAUUUUUACAGAUGAGAAAGUUGAGGUCUAAAAAAGUAUGACUUCCCUAAGUUCCCACAGCCGAUUAGGGACAGAGCCAGGGCUAGAAUUCAGGAAGCCUUCAGUCCCACCCAUCAGUCUUUUUUUGCAUUACACUCCCUGCACAACCCAGGCCUUGGAUAUUCAGGAAGAUGGGGAAGAUUUGGAGGUAUGCUGACUGCAACAAAGGAGGUGGGCUCUCCCGGAAAGAAAACAACCAAUCAACCACAAAGAUUUCUAACACUCAUUUGGAGAACCUCCAGAGUAUCCGGAGAAACCUUUUUAAUUGGUGCAAUGACAAAACUUGGAACCUUUGAAAAACAUUCCUUUGGUGUGGCUUGGAUUCCUAGGUACACGACUGGAGUGGUUGUUCUUGACAUGCCCUGUAUAAAGUGCAUAGUAUUUUGGAGGCUGCAUAGAUGCAAUGACAAAAUUGGAUAUUCUGCCAUAUUUGCAAUUCAUUGUACUGCUUAUAUCUGAAAAGUCACAUGAGUUUGGUGAUAUGGUUUGGCUCCGUGUCCCCACCCAAAUCUCAUGCUGAAUUGUAAUCCCCAAUGUUAAGGGAGGGACCUGGUGGGAGGUGAUGGGAUCAUGGGUGCAGAUUUCCCCAUUGCUGUUCCUGUGUUAGUGAGUUCUCAUGAGAUCUAGUUGUUUGAACGUGUGUGGCACCUCCCCCUUUGCUCUCUCUCUCUCUUCCUGCCAUGCGAAGAAGGUGCUUGCUUCCCCUUCACUCUUCCACCAUGGUUGUACAUUUCCUGAGGCCUCCCCAGCCAUGCUUCUUGAACACCCUGUGGAACUGUGAGUUAUUUAAACCUCCUUUCCUCAUAAAUUACCUAGUCUCGGGUAGUUCUUUAUAAUAGGGUGAGAAUGGACUAUUACACUUGGAAAAUAGUGUGUUAUCCAGAGAGAGAAACUCAUGUUGUAAAUAAACGAAGGAAGGGCUGGGAGUUAACAUGAUGAGCUUUGAUAACAGGUUGUUGCUGACAUAGAUAAAAUUAGUAUACAGAGUAGAUCUCUUAGAAAGUCUUCCCAGAAGAAAAAACUUCUGGCCAGGCACAGUGGCUCACACCUGUAAUCCCAGCACUUUGGGAGGCCGAGGUGGGUGAAUCACCUGAGGUCAGGAGUUCGAGACCAGUCUGGCCAACAUGGUGAAACCCCCUCUCUACUAAAAAUGCAAAAAUUAGCUGGGUGUGGUGGCAGGCGCCUGUAAUCCCAGCUACUUGGGAGGCUGAGGCAGGAGAAUUGCUUGAACCCAGGAGGCAGAGGUUGCAGUGAGCUGAGCUCAUGUCGUUGCACUCCAGCCUGGGCAACAAGAGUGAAACUCCAUCUCAAAAAUAAAUAAAUUAAUUAAUUAAAUAAAAUAAAAAUAAAAAAGAAGAAACUUCUAUUUUAAUGUAUUUACCCCAAGGGGUACUAUUCAAAUAAAUGUCUAAGUGAUAUCUGGUUCCUACAUGCAAUCUUAAGUUUAUUUGCCCUUUGCUACACAUAUUUCUUUUUGAUUCUUCUAGUUAUUGCUCAUGCAUGUUUUAGUUUUAUCUUGCGCAUAAAAUUUUUACAUAAAUAACCAAAGUGAGUUGUGCUGAAGCCAUGGUGUAUUGUAGCUCUUCAAGAGACUUGUGUGAUAU
rnacentral:lncRNA from 1 species